rnacentral:tRNA from 1 species
UAAAAGAUAAGCUAAAUAAAGCUAACGGGCUCAUACCCCGCUAUGAGAUUUAUACCUCUCUUUUAA